rnacentral:tRNA from 1 species
GCCUUCGUAGUGUAGUGGUCAGCCCCCUGGACUCGUAUUCCAGUGGUCCGUGGUUCGAUUCCCUGCGAAGGCG